rnacentral:rRNA from 1 species
GACGAACGCUGGCGGCGUGCUUAACACAUGCAAGUCGAACGGAAAGGCCCUGCUUUUGUUGGGUGCUCGAGUGGCGAACGGGUGAGUAACACGUGAGUAACCUGCCCUUGUCUUUGGGAUAACUUCAGGAAACUGGGGCUAAUACCGGAUAGGAGCUCCUGCUGCAUGGUGGGGGUUGGAAAGUUUCGGCGGUUGGGGAUGGACUCGCGGCUUAUCCGCUUGUUGGUGGGGUAGUGGCUUACCAAGGCUUGGACGGGUAGCCGGCCUGGGAGGGUGACCGGCCACAUGGGGACUGAGAGACGGCCCAGACUCCUACGGGAGGCAGCAGUGGGGAAUAUUGCACAAUGGGCGGAAGCCUGAGGCAGCAACGCCGCGUGCGGGAUGACGGCCUUCGGGUUGUAAACCGCUUUCGCCUGUGACGAAGCGUGAGUGACGGUAAUGGGUAAAGAAGCACCGGCUAACUACGUG